UCUCUUUGUGUGCAGUUUCUUCCAGGACGGGCUGAAGGCCGUGGAGGCUCUGAAACCGUCUGUGGAGAAACUGGCCUCAGAUCUGACGACGAUUAAACAGAGUCAGGACGGCGAGAGGAAACAGCUGAUUCAGCUCCGAGACGUCCUGAAGGUGUCUCUGCAGUCUGAGCAGAAAGAGGACGCUCAGGCCAAACAGAACGCAGGUUACAGCCUCCACCAGCUGCAGGGCAACAAGGCGCACGGCACCGAGCGCUCCGGAGUCCUCUACAAGAAGAGCGAGGGGUGAGUGGACUCAGUGUCCCAGCAUGCAG